AUCUAGCUGAUGAGUCCCAGCUAGGACGAAACGCGCAUCCUAGAU
rnacentral:hammerhead_ribozyme from 1 species